GACCUUUCCCGCGGUAGGACGACUAGUCAAUAUACAGAGAGGAGGAAUGGCUUGCGUUACCGGUGGGUGCUGCAGUGCAGUCUACUAUGUCUGCUUAGCCGCCAUCUGCAUCUACCUCGUCGUCUGCAUUCUCGCGGUUCCGCAGUACCGCUUUGUGGCCCUCAUGAUCUUCGCCUUGGUGACCCUGUAUGCCACCUCCGCAUGGCGCCUGCUGCCGUCUGAGCGGCUUGUGGUGCGUGAGAUGGCAGAGGCAAUGGCGAGGCAGCGCUGCCCACCCCCGGCGGUGGCGGUGCCGUUCGCCACACCCGUGACAGCCGGCGCGGCCGUCACUCAUCCAUCGUCGGCGUUUCAUGAGCCGUACAGAGGUUCGAUCUGAGCUGCCCCCUCGCGUCGUUCCCCCUUCUCGGCUACCCUUUGUCAAAUUGUGCCUUCUACUCUCUUGAGCCACGCCGCGCUUUUCAGGAAGGGAGGUGUGCGCGUGUGUGUGUGUGAGAGGCGCCAUUGUCGGCGGAUGGCGCUUCCCUCCCUCUCCCUUUUAUCUUCUAAAUCUGCUCCAUUUUCUCUUGUAUAUUGCAUCAGCUGCUGUGUGUUCUGCUCGUGCCAGCAUUCUUGGUGCAUGUCGAGACCCAGUCUUUUCCUCGAGCACUAAAUCCCCUCUUCGCUUGUGUGUGCUUGCUUUCAGUCUUGUAUCCGUUCAUCAUCUUACCUCUGUUCGUGCAAGUGAGCCCGCUCAUCUUACGAUGCGCGCCCCUUUCACUCUUCUGUUGGCUUGAUCGCUUUUCGCUGCAUGCGCCCACUCCCUUACCCACUUCGCGUGUCCGCGUGCGCAGCAGCGAGUCCUUUCAGGGAAGGUAAACGCAGUGGAGCCGGAAAAAAAAGGAAAGCGAAAGGCUUGCGCAAAACUAGAGGGGUUGCAGUGGUGGUGGACAAGCGGUGACGUGUGCGGACACACACACACACACACACAGCACACAUCCACACAUACGUGCCAUGCUUCUCUCGCUACGCGAGAGGGGGCCCCGGAGACACGCCGUGGUCUCCUCAAAGAUGGGUACGAGAAGGAUGGGACGCGCUGCCUCUUCCGUGUGGAUCUCUUCCAUGCAGCUAUCUUUAUGUGUGACGUGUCUUUGCCCACCUCAUCAUGCCUGGCCGGCGCGCCGUGGAGCGACGGCGUGGGUAGAGAACAAGGACCCAUUUGUAUGCGCUCUGGCCUCCCUUGAGGCUCCUUCUCGUACGCGACACGGCAGCGACUCUUUCGUCUUGCGUCAUUCACGCAUGACACAUUCCCACUCGAUCGGUACCCUUCUGCGCCUCUUCCUCUUCUCGGCUCACCGCCAUCCGCUCUGUCUCUCACCUUGGGGCUGCUGGUGGCUCUCUUUGCGAUCCCCAG
rnacentral:misc_RNA from 1 species